AUACGUAGGGGGCAAGCGUUAUCCGGAUUUACUGGGUGUAAAGGGAGCGCAGGCGGCGCGGCAAGUCUGAUGUGAAAGCCCGGGGCUCAACCCCGGUACUGCAUUGGAAACUGUCGUGCUAGAGUGUCGGAGGGGUAAGCGGAAUUCCUAGUGUAGCGGUGAAAUGCGUAGAUAUUAGGAGGAACACCAGUGGCGAAGGCGGCUUACUGGACGAUAACUGACGCUGAGGCUCGAAAGCGUGGGGAGC
rnacentral:rRNA from 1 species